rnacentral:rRNA from 1 species
CCUACGGGUGGCAGCAGUGGGGAAUAUUGGACAAUGGGGGGAACCCUGAUCCAGCGACGCCGCGUGAGUGAAGAAGUAUUUCGGUAUUUAAAGCUCUAUCAGCCGGGAAGAAAAUGACGGUACCUGACUAAGAAGCUCCGGCUACCUACGUGCCAGCAGCCGCGGUAUUACGUAGGGGGCAAGCGUUAUCCGGAUUUACUGGGUGUAAAGGGCGCUGAGCCGGUGCAGCAAGUCUGAUGUGAAAGGUCAGGGGCCAACCCCGGGAAUGCAUGGGAAACUGGGGAACAUGAGUACAGGAGAGGUAAGCGGAAUUCCUAGUGUAGCGGUGAAAUGCGUAGAUAUUAGGAGGAACACCAGUGGCGAAGGCGGCUGACUGGACUGUAACUGACGUUGAGGCUCGAAAGCGUGGGGAGCAAACAGGAUUAGAUACCCGAGUAGUC